rnacentral:rRNA from 1 species
CGUUUAUUUGAUAGUACCUUACUACUUGGAUAACCGUGGUAAUUCUAGAGCUAAUACAUGCUGAAAACCCCAACUUCGGGAGGGGUGUAUUUAUUAGAUAAAAAACCAACGCCCUUCGGGGCUUCUUGGUGAUUCAUGAUAACUUUACGGAUCGCAUGGCCUGGCGCCGGGGGACGGUUCAUUCAAAUUUCUGCCCUAUCAACUUCGAUGGUAAGGUAUUGGCUUACCAUGGUUUCAACGGGUAACGGGGGAAUUAGGGUUCGAUUCCGGAGAGGGAGCCUGAGAAACGGCUACCACAUCCAAGGAAGGCAGCAGGCGCGCAAAUUACCCAAUCCCGACACGGGGAGGUAGUGACAAUAAAUACUGAUACAGGGCUCUUUUGGGUCUUGUAAUUGGAAUGAGUACAAUUUAAACCUCUUAACGAGGAACAAUUGGAGGGCAAGUCUGGUGCCAGCAGCCGCGGUAAUUCCAGCUCCAAUAGCGUAUAUUAAAGUUGUUGCAGUUAAAAAGCUCGUAGUUGAACCUUGGGUCUGGCUGGCGGGUCCGCCUCACCGCGUGUACUUGUCCGGCCGGGCCUUCCUUCUGGAGAACCUCAUGCCCUUUACUGGGCGUGUUGGGGACCAGGACUUUUACUUUGAAAAAAUUAGAGUGUUCAAAGCAGGCCUUUGCUCGAAUACGUUAGCAUGGAAUAAUAGAAUAGGACGUGCGGUCCUAUUUUGUUGGUUUCUAGGACCGCCGUAAUGAUUAAUAGGGACAGUCGGGGGCAUCAGUAUUCAAUUGUCAGAGGUGAAAUUCUUGGAUUUAUUGAAGACUAACUACUGCGAAAGCAUUUGCCAAGGAUGUUUUCAUUAAUCAGUGAACGAAAGUUAGGGGAUCGAAGACGAUCAGAUACCGUCGUAGUCUUAACCGUAAACUAUGCCGACUAGGGAUCGGGCGAUGUUCUUUUUCUGACUCGCUCGGCACCUUACGAGAAAUCAAAGUUUUUGGGUCUGGGGGAGAAUUGGAAC